UCGGCUGUCAAUGUCAUUUGGUUUUUUUUUUUGUCCAUGGUUCCGUAACAGACGGUCGGUCACACUUGUUGUACGACAAUAAACAUAUACUUGUGGUUCUUUUAUCUUUUUAUAAUUUCCAAUUAUUAAUAUAGUCCGUAUUAUUUGCUUCCUAAAAUGAGUAACUCUUUUUAUUGUUGAUAUUUCGAAUUAUUCCGAGAGUCAAACCGGUCAGUUGUGGUAUCCAUUGAAUGAGAAGGUUUUCAUUCAUCAGUUUGUCUGUGGUUUCUCGGAUUGGAAUUUUGAUAAAUCAUUGUUCGAUCGAUCUUCAAGAUGUAAAGGAUCUUAGAAAAUCUUUGGGCAAUCAAUCUUAGGGGUAUGUAACCUACUUGAAGGUUUUAUUUCCUAAAACUGUGGUAAAUUCAAGUUAGUAAUCGUUAAUGUAAUUUUGUUACAGCUCGUCCCAAAAUGUGCAUAAUUUAGCGUCUUAGAGCCUACCUAAAAUGGCGGCUGCUAAUCUUUUCCCUUCAAUUUAACAUAACUUGCAAAACCUAAUGUCGUCAACCACCUCUUCGUCUUGCCACGCGGUCUGCAGGCGCCGUCGUUGGUAUAGGAAAUAAUGGACCCGGCAUAAACCCCGGUAAGUCAUUUAAUCGCUUCAUUGCCGUAAUUUAAAUCGCGCUGUGCCUCAGUUUAAAAUAUAAUUUUUCUAUAAAACUAAACGUGUUAAAACAUAAUUUUUUUUAACCUAGAACAUUUUCUUUGUUCUUAGGGUUUUUUCCUGGACCCUGGUUUUUUCCUGGACCCUGGUUUUUCCUGGACCCUGGUUUUUCCUGGACCCUGGUUCUCUAAGGCUGUGCCAUCCGGUGGCAGCGUUCUUCUUGGCAGUGUCCGUGAAGUUAAGACUUUUAUGAGAUACCUUUAGUUAAAUAUGGACCCUUUACGCUGAACAGGUAA